AGUGAACGCUGGCGGUAGGCCUAACACAUGCAAGUCGAACGGCAGCACAGUAAGAGCUUGCUCUUACGGGUGGCGAGUGGCGGACGGGUGAGGAAUACAUCGGAAUCUACUUUUUCGUGGGGGAUAACGUAGGGAAACUUACGCUAAUACCGCAUACGACCUACGGGUGAAAGCAGGGGAUCUUCGGACCUUGCGCGAUUGAAUGAGCCGAUGUGGGAUUAGCUAGUUGGGGGGGUAAAGGCCCACCAAGGCGACGAUCCGUAGCUGGUCUGAGAGGAUGGUCAGCCACACUGGAACUGAGACACGGUCCAGACUCCUACGGGAGGGAGCAGUGGGGAAUAUUGGACAAUGGGGGCGAGCCUGAUCCAGCCAUACCGCGUGGGUGAAGAAGGCCUUCGGGUUGUAAAGCCCUUUUGUUGGGAAAGAAAAGCAGCAGGUUAAUACCCCGCUGUUCUGACGGUACCCAAAGAAUAAGCACCGGCUAACUUCGUG
rnacentral:rRNA from 1 species